rnacentral:rRNA from 1 species
AUUGAACGCUGGCGGCAUGCCUUACACAUGCAAGUCGAACGGCAGCACGGGAGCAAUCCUGGUGGCGAGUGGCGAACGGGUGAGUAAUAUACCGGAACGUGCCCAGUCGUGGGGGAUAACGUAGCGAAAGCUACGCUAAUACCGCAUACGAUCUAUGGAUGAAAGCGGGGGAUCGCAAGACCUCGCGCGAUUGGAACGGCCGAUAUCAGAUUAGGUAGUUGGUGGGGUAAAGGCUCACCAAGCCGACGAUCUGUAGCUGGUCUGAGAGGACGACCAGCCACACUGGGACUGAGACACGGCCCAGACUCCUACGGGAGGCAGCAGUGGGGAAUUUUGGACAAUGGGCGCAAGCCUGAUCCAGCAAUGCCGCGUGCAGGAUGAAGGCCUUCGGGUUGUAAACUGCUUUUGUACGGAGCGAAAAGGCUCUCUCUAAUACAGGGGGCUCAUGACGGUACCGUAAGAAUAAGCACCGGCUAACUACGUGCCAGCCGCCGCAGUAAAAC